rnacentral:sRNA from 1 species
CGGAUUCCGGUGGCGGCGAUGAGAUCGUGG